rnacentral:lncRNA from 1 species
GGAACAACAUAAGGCGAGAAAAUUUCAAUAAGUAUGUACAUGUUUAUAAAUUUCUAAUCAUAUAACUUUUGGAAUCAUAGAACUUGUAUAAAGGAGACACGAAACAAUACCGAACUUAGAUGGUAUGAGUUUUACGUGCGUAGUGCUACUAGAACUACAGUCCAAAACUUAGAGCAUACAUAUGGACCCAUAAACAUAUUUCCAAAAGUGUAGUAUAACAACACGUAUAUACUUACUGUUGUGUGAGGAAAAAUAAAGGCAAUCAAAGAAAUUG